UACGUAGGGUCCGAGCGUUGUCCGGAAUUACUGGGCGUAAAGAGCUCGUAGGUGGUUUGUCGCGUUGUUCGUGAAAACUCACAGCUUAACUGUGGGCGUGCGGGCGAUACGGGCAGACUUGAGUACUGCAGGGGAGACUGGAAUUCCUGGUGUAGCGGUGGAAUGCGCAGAGAUCGGGAGGAACACCGGUGGCGAAGGCGGGUCUCUGGGCAUCUCCUGACGCUGAGGCGCGAAAGCGUGGGGAGCAAACGGG
rnacentral:rRNA from 1 species